CACGUAGGGUGCGAGCGUUGUCCGGAAUUAUUGGGCGUAAAGAGCUCGUAGGUGGUUUGUUACGUCUGCUGUGAAAACCUAGGGCUUAACCCUGGGCUUGCAGUGGAUACAGGCAGACUAGAGGUAGGUAGGGGAGAAUGGAAUUCCUGGUGUAGCGGUGAAAUGCGUAGAUAUCGUAAGGAAGACCAGUGGCGAAGGCGGGUCUCUGGACAGUUCCUGACACUGAGACACGAAGGCCAGGGGAGCAAACGGG
rnacentral:rRNA from 1 species